rfam:Ateles paniscus x Ateles fusciceps major prion protein precursor gene, complete cds.
UCAUGGUGGUGGCUGGGGGCAACCCCAUGGUGGCGGCUGG